rnacentral:rRNA from 1 species
CCUGUAAUGUAUUUUUAAAAUGUUGUCCUGGUUUUGUAACUAAAAUGGUUUGGCAGUGAGCGAUUCUUGUUAGGGGAAGAUGCAUAGUAAAGGAUGGUCCACCUAUUAUUUCACUCUUGUUAUGUUGGUGUAUAUCUGGUUUGAUAUUAUCGUUUAAUGGUUUGAGUUUGUGUAGUUUUAGUUAAGCCAAGUCUAUGUGCUGCUUACGGGAGUUUUUGUGUGUUACAUUAAUAAGGGUGUUGUUGUAAUAUGAUAUUAUUUAGGACUUAAUAGUAAUGUUUAAAUUAGUUUGUUGAUGUGAAAUGAGUUUAGCUCAGGUACACACCGCCCGUCACCCUU